UUGGAAUAAAGAUGAGCAUUUAAAGUGCCUCACUUCUCAGGUUGCCUUAGAGCUGAAUAAGUAACAAGAAAACCAAAGUGCUGCUAGUAUGCAGCUUUGCUCUGGUCCUCAGCUUCCGCUGCGAGCAGCAGAGGGCUCUUCAGGCAGCACCGAUCCAGGUUAACUAGCUCACAGGAAUAGCUGUGGCUGGCUUUGCACUUUGUGGACCAGGAUUUGUCACCUCUGCCUGUAAAGAAAAAGGAACAUUGAAACAACAACUCCAUUCAACUUUACUGGUUUUAUUUUUAACUGUAGACUGGAAGCAGCUGGUCGCUGGUGCACAGGCAGAGUUCCUGAAAUGUCAAAACUCCAGAGUGGACACUUGCACACAACACAAACAAGGGAGACAUCAAGCUGCCAUUUAGUACAUUUUAUUUGAGAGUCAACUCUGAAAAUGGAGGCAGCCUUGAGGAACCUCUGCAUGGUUUUGGAGGGCUUGCUCCUUUUGCAAACAGGUGGCAGAUUUUCCAACUGCAUCCUUACUGGAAACUGCUCUGCAGGAAGAGGGAGGCAUAAAAAAAUAAAGCAGAAACUUGGUCCUUUGGCACCACCUAGUGGACAAAAGAAAGAACAUGCAGAAAUGUUUGACAUGUCAAACAUUUGGACGAGUGCGUGUUUCACCAGUGAGGCAUGAGGCCAGCACCGGACGUGUCUCCAACCACAGCUUGCUGGUCUGAAAGACACGAUGCAGGCCUGUGGACUGAAAUGAGAAGACAAUUAGAAGCAGUCAAUUGAAAGAGUCGACUUUAAAACUCACAGAAAGUCGGCCAUGACGGGGUCGUUUUGAAGAUUGACACCUGGAGACAGAAAGUAGAAA